GGAUUAAUACUGCAGCAUACCUUAUUUAUUUAAAACAACCUCAUGGUUGGAACAUGUCUGAACAAUAAAGGUUGGAAGUUUCACACAGCUUCAACUCCAUGCUUUAUUGGUUCACAAAAGAAGAUGUGAGAUGAGGAGUACCAGGUGGAGAAUCGAAUCCCUUCUCUGGAACAUACUCACUAAAUGGGGGAAGAAGUCAGCUUUGCAGUGUACUAUGGUAAAAUGUCUCUAAUUCUUUCAAUUGGAACCUGUGUUUGGAAAUCAACACAAAGACACAAGAGGACGCAAAUAAUGUUGUUUAUGGUAAUGGUACUGGAAGAGUUAAUUUUAAAGCUGCAUUAAGCUCCACCCAAUCACACAAAAUGUGGGUGGAGGUGAAGGAGUCUGAUUCAAUGUCACACCGGAGACAGAUGACUCAUGUCUGGCUUU